CCGGAAGACUUUCAAGUCUGGCAGUUUAGCCUCGUGGUCUGAAGAAGACGAGGGCCUGGAUUUCUCACAGUUUCGGUUUGAAACAAAAGGGCCUGAUGCUCCUCAGUAGCUCACGGCACCAGGAUGCUAACAUGCUAAUGUUUAACAGGUUUAACAAACAGGGAACAGAAGAGGGCAGAGACCAGACCCCUGAGGAACCCCGCAGGGGGUGUCAGCUGGACCUGACAGUCCGAGCUGCGAGCUGAACCUUCUCUGUGGACAAACUGGGACACUGCAGCGGCAACAGGACGAACGGCAAGCAGAGCGAGACUGAAGACCCUGAAGUGAAGUCCAGCAGGAUCCCAGACACCAAGUCAGAGACCCACAGCUCAGGGUUCACAUUUCAUCACCAAGAUCCACCAAAAUUCAUUUUACUGCGGCUUACUUUCCUGAUUAUCAUUCGGACUAUGAAACAGAGACUGAUUUUCAGCCUGGCUGAUACUCAGACUCUUCCUAUUAUUGUUAUCUGUGUGGUUUUUGUCUGACUGCUGAUAAAACGUGUUUUUAAAUGUUUUUCUUCUGCUGCAGCCUCCUCUCAGUCUAAAAAAUCUAAAAAAUUACAAACCCCUCUGUGGUGACUUCAGAUGUCCUCUUUGGUCCAAAACCCAAAGACUGGGUUUGAUGUGAAAGACGACAAAGCAUCAGAUAAUCGCAUCUGAUAAUAAUGAACAUACAAAUAAACAAACUUGGCCUUAA